rnacentral:misc_RNA from 1 species
GCUGACACGCUGUCCUCUGGCGACCUGUGUCGCUGGAGAGGUUGGGCCUCUGGAUGCGUGCGGGACUCUGGCCCACCGCUGACCCGGCUAGCCGGCCCUGCUCCCGCUCGAGCCGCCUGCUGCUGGGGCCCGCGGGCCUGCUGCUCUCUCGCGCGUCCGAGCGUCCCGACUCCCGGUGCCGGCCCGGGUCCGGGUCUCUGACCCACCCGGGGGCGGCGGGGAAGGCGGCGAGGGCUACCCUGCCCCCGUGCGCUCUCCGCCGCGGGCACCCGGGGCGGCCGUGACAACCCCAACCCGUCGGCUCCGUGCCGUGCGUGUCAGGCGUCCUCGUCUCCGCUGGGUUGUCCGCCGCCCCUUCCCCGGAGCGGGGGACGGCCGGGGCCGAUCGGCUCGCUCGCCGGCCGGCUGGCCGACUCCCCGCUCCCGGGGGCUCUCCGUGAUCGAUGUGGUGACGUCACGCUCUCCCGGGCCGGAUCCGAGCCGCGACGGGCGAGGGGCGGACAUUCGUGGCGAAUGGGACCGUUCUUCUCGCCCCGCCCGCGGGGGCCCCUUGCCUCUCCUCCGUCCGCCUGCCGGUGGUGCGUUGGGAAGGCGUGGGGUGCGGAACCCGGCCUGACCUGGCUGUCCCGUCCCCGCAUUCCGCUUCGCGGGGUGGGUCGGCGGGGUCCUCUGACGCGGCGGGCAUCCCUCGCUCUCGCCUCCCGCGGUCGUCGACUUGCGGGCGGGCCCCCUCCGCGGCGGUGGGGGUGCCGUCCCGCCGGCCCGUCGUGCUGCCCUCUCGGGGGUUUCGCGCGAGCGUUGGCUCCGCCCGGGCCUUUGCGGUGCUCCUGGAGCGCUCCGGGUUGUCCCUCAGGUGCCCGAGGCCGAGCGGUGGUGUGUCCCUCCCCCCCCGGCGUCCCCUCCUCCGGUGUCCGCGCGUGGGUCCCGAGGGGAGCCCGUCGGCGUGGGGUUCGAGGCGGUCGAGUGAGAUGAGAUGCGCGCCCCUCCCGCGCGGGGAAGGGCGCCGCCUGGUCCGGCGAGCGCACGUCCCGUGCUCCCCUCUGGUGGGUGCGCGAGGGCCGUGUGAGCGAUCGCGGCGGGCUCGGGCCGGUGACGCGUGGGCCGGCCGGCCGCCGAGGGGCUGCCGUUCUGCCUCCGACCGGUCGCGUGCGUGGCUUUGCCUCGGAAGCGACGCAGGAGGCGGGUGGACGGGGGGGGCCUUGUGAGCCUGCCGGGCCCCCGCCCUGACCGCGAACGCUCGAGGUCGCCGCAGGCGCGCUUCUCCUCGUACCGCAGGCCCCCUCCCUUCGCCGGGCGUCCCCGAGCGCCUCUGCGGGCCCGACGAGGGGCGACUGGCGGGUGGGGAGUGUGACCCACCCUCGGUGAGAAAGCCUUCUCUAGCGAUCUGAGAGAGGUGUGCCUUGGGGUGCCGGAUCUCCCGGCCUGCCGCCUCUGUCUCCUUCUGCCUUAUGGUAGCGCCGUCGUAGCGACUCGCGCGCAGAGGACCCUCCUCCUUUUCCUCCUCGACGGGUUGAGGUUGGGGAGAGCGAGGGUUCCGCCGGCCACCGCGGUGGUGGCCGAGCGCGGCUCGUCGCCUGCAGUGUGGCCCGCGCCUCCCCCUUCCGAGUCGGGGGAGGAUCCCGCCGGGCCGGGCCCGGCGUCCCAGCGGGUUGGACGCGGCCGCCGCGAGCGGUGGGUGUGCGCGGCCUUCCGUCCGGUGCGUGACCCCCACCUCGGCCGCGAGUCGGCUCUCCGCCCGCUCCCGUGCCGAGUCGCGAGCGGUGCCGACGACCGCGUGCGCGUGGGCGCGGGGUUGGGCCGCCUGGCCCCGGGAAAGCGUCCCACGCUGGGGACGCGCCGGUCUCCCGGAGCGGGACCGGGUCGGAGGCUGGACGAGAAUGACGAGCUGCGGCCCUGGCGUCGGGUUGGUGGCUGUGGUCGCUUCGGGGCCCCCGGUGGCGGGACCCGGGGCUCGUGAGGCGGGUCUCGGUGGGUGCCGAGGGCCGUCCGGCGUCCCAGGUGGGGCGCCGCGGGACCGCCCUCGUGUCGGUGGUGGUGGGAUCCCGCGGCCGUGUUUUCCUGGUGGCCCGGCCGUGCCCGAGGUUUCUCCCGCCGAGCCGCCGCUCUGCGGGCUCCCGGGUGCCCUCGCCCUCGCGUUCCCCGGCCCUUGGCUCUCUGUGCGCCCCUUCCCCGCCCGCCGAUCCUCUCCCCUCCCCGAGCGGCUCGCCGGCUUGACGUCGGUGGUGGUGGCCUCGUCUGGGACCGAACCCGGCACCGCCUCGGGGGGCGCCGCCGCCGGCCGCUGGUCGGCCCGGUGUCCCCGUCCCCCGGCGUGCGCCUUCGGGACCGGGUCGGCGGCCCCCCCGGCGUUGGGCCCCGGUGGGCUCCCGGAGAGGGGUUUUUUGAGGGGUCGGCCUGUGGCGCGUGCGGGAGAGAGGGUUCCGGGGGGCUGGCCGCGACUGCGGCGGCGGUGUGGGGGAGCCGCGCGGAUCGCCGAAGGUCGAGUCGGCCGCUCCGGGUGCCGCGCGGGGGCCGCCUUCGCGCUCGGAGGCUGCGGGCGGUGAGACCCCCACGUGUGUCCUGGCCGCGGUCGGCUGCGCCCGAGGGGUCCCGCGGCGUCCCCUUCCCCGCCGGCCGCCUUUCUCGAGCCUUCUCCUUCGCCUCGGCCUCGCCCGGGGUCUCGUCGUCUUCUCCCGGCCCGGUCUUCCGAAUCGGUCCGGCGCGCCCCCGGGUGCGCCUCGCUUCCCGGGCCUGCCGCGGCCCUUCCCCGAGGCGUCCGUCCCGGGCGUCGGCGUCGGGGAGAGCCCGUCCUCCCCGCGUGGUGUUGCCCCGUUCGGCGCGCGCGUGCGCCCGAGCGCGGCCCGGUGGUCCCUCCCGGACAGGCGUCGGUGCGACGUGUGGCGCGGGUCGACCUCCGCCUCGCCGGUCGCUCGCCCCUUUCCCCGGGUCGGGGGGGGGGCCCGGGCCGGGGCCUCGGCCCCGGUCGCGGUCCCUCGUCCCGGGCGGGGGCGGGCGCGCCGGCCGGCUUCGGUCGCCCUCCCUCGGCCGUCGUGUGGCGUGUGCCACCCCUGCUCCCGCGCCCGCCUGGGCGGGGGCCCGGCGCCGGGCUUCGGCCGGGCCCCGGGCCCUCGACCCGACCGGCGCGCGGGCGCUGCGGCCGCACGGCGCGACUGUCCCCGGGCCGGGCACCGCGGUCCGCCUCUCGCUCGCCGCCCGAACGUCGGGGCCGCCCCGCGGGGCGGGGCGGAGCGCCGUCCCCGCCUCGCCGGCGCCGCGGGCGCGCGCGCGGCCGCCGGUCCCUCGCGGCUGCCGGGCGCGGGUCGGGCGGUCCGCCUCGUCGCGGGCGGGCGCGCGAAGGGUCCGCGGGGGUGGCUGCGUGUGCGUCUGCGGGGCGAGCCCGUCGGCAGGCGGCGGUCGCGUGUCGUCGCGCGGGCGGGUGGAUGGGGCGUCCGGUUCGCCGCGCCCCGCCCCGCCCCGCCGUCCGGCCGUCCGGCCCGCCGCCCCGCGCUCGCUCCCUCGCUCCCUCGCUCGCUCCCUCCCCGCGCGCCCCGCCGCCCGCCCGCCCGCCCGGCAGGCCGCGGCCCGUCCGUCCUCGCUUCCCGGGCGCCGGGCCCGUCCUCGCGAGGUCCCCCGGCGGCGGCGGCGGCGGCGCCGUCGUCGUCCUCGUCGUCGGGGCCUCGCCGCGCUCUACCCU